rnacentral:rRNA from 1 species
UACGUAGGGUGCAAGCGUUGUCCGGAAUUAUUGGGCGUAAAGAGCUCGUAGGCGGUUUGUCGCGUCUGCUGUGAAAAUCCAGGGCUUAACCCUGGACCUGCAGUGGGUACGGGCAGACUGGAGUGCGGUAGGGGAGAUCGGAAUUCCUGGUGUAGCGGUGAAAUGCGCAGAUAUCAGGAGGAACACCGGUGGCGAAUGCGGAUCUCUGGGCCGUAACUGACGCUGAGGAGCGAAAGCAUGGGGAGCGAACAGG